GGGAGUGCAGAAAAGAGCAACAUUCCAUGGAGGCUAAAAAAGAUGAGAAGAGUCCCAAGGAGAAGGGUCACAUCUGGUUUGUUCUUCUGCCUCUCCCCACGGCAUCUAGCAAAGAGCGCAUGUCAUCGGCGUUGGUAACCAACUCCAUAAAUAAUGUGGUGAAAAGGCAACGCAGGAGACAGAGCAGCAUGUCCAAGUCCGUUUCACAGUCCGCCGGCUGAGGGAGCACAGUCAAGCCUUUCAACCUCACCGAGCCUCAGCCCUCUUGUCUUUGCAAAGGUGGCCUUGAUUCAGUCCCUAUUUAUGCCAUAGGGUUGUUGUCGUGCUCAAAUGAGAGAGCCAACACGGAACGACUUAUCGUCUCAGCUAUAGACGUGCC
rnacentral:lncRNA from 1 species